rnacentral:rRNA from 1 species
GAUGAACGCUGGCGGCGUGCCUAAUACAUGCGAGUCGAGCGAACGGACGAGAAGCUUGCUUCUCUGACGUUAGCGGCGGACGGGUGAGUAACACGUGGAUAACCUACCUAUAAGACUGGGAUAACUUCGGGAAACCGGAGCUAAUACCGGAUAAUAUUUUGAACCGCAUGGUUCAAAAGUGAAAGACGGUCUUGCUGUCACUUAUAGAUGGAUCCGCGCUGCAUUAGCUAGUUGGUAAGGUAACGGCUUACCAAGGCAACGAUGCAUAGCCGACCUGAGAGGGUGAUCGGCCACACUGGAACUGAGACACGGUACAGACUCCUACGGGAGGCAGCAGUAGGGAAUCUUCCGCAAUGGGCGAAAGCCUGACGGAGCAACGCCGCGUGAGUGAUGAAGGUCUUCGGAUCGUAAAACUCUGUUAUUAGGGAAGAACAUAUGUGUAAGUAACUGUGCACAUCUUGACGGUACCUAAUCAGAAAGCCACGGCUAACUACGUG